UUACUGUGAGAAUCAGUAACAAACAUGUGGGGCUUAUAUCUAAUCGAAAGAUUAGUAUUAGUGCAGACGUUAAAACCAUGUC
ncrna:RNA (82-MER) from synthetic construct (PDB 6JQ5, chain B)